UGGUAAUGAGGUCAUUAUUAAAAAUGCUAAUGUAGAGCAGCAUGGCUAGUAAAAGUUAAUGUAUUUUGUGAUCCUUCUUUGUUUGCUGUUUCUUGUGAUUAUUUCUCGUCGAGAGCAUCUGGGUGAGAGUGUUUUAAAUGAUUUAAUUGCAAAUUUAGGAAAACCUGCCCAAGGAAAAGAAAGCAAAUAAUUUUACUAAAUCUUUGAUGUUGAAGCCCCUUCUUUUAAGUUUUUUUUUUUUGUUUUUUUGUUUUUUUUUUUUUAAUCUGCCUGCCAUUUUAAUGAAAGCCUAUGGUUUUCUAGGUGUUGGUUUGGAUUUUUUUUAAACUGUUUAUUUUGAGAAGCCCAGAAGAUUAUGAGAAGGAAUUUUGUGUUAAUAUUUCCCAUCCAUGCUGGCCAAGUUUCAUUAAAGCAAUGGUUGUUACAGAAUAUCCUAUAGGAAGUGUAAAGACAACUGAGAAUCGAUUCUCAGCUGGAGCAAAUUGGCAUAACUAAUUGACUUCUGUGGAUCCGGUCCACACUGUGUUUCAGCCUUGGCCAGCAUGUGGAGUUGAUAGAUGUAGAUAAUUUAAACUACAUGAGUUUAUUGUAAAAAAUGAGAGGAGGAAUAAUCUGUUCUUAUAUCACUACAUUUAGAGAAUCACAAUGUAUAUUAGACUAGCCCUGUAGAGUAUUAUUGAUUGGUUUAUUCUUUGCAUUUUUUUCUCUGAAAUUAAUAUUUAUAGUGUGUUCUGAAGCAUUAAUGAGGUGAUUCUUAUGCCGAGAUCUUUAGUGCAGUAGGUGAACAUAAAAGCAAGCAUCUCUCGUAAGUAGUUAUUUUUCAGAGCAAUACAACAGUUUCAUAUAGAUGCAUACUGGUAAAAAUAUGGGUUGUUCUUGAUAACAUUAAUGGGGGAAUGCUUUAUUAAGAAUUAAUGGUAGUUCUACUAAGCCUUUUUCUGGACAUUUUGUGUUUCAGCAUUAAAUAAGCAGCAUUGUUUAGGGGCGUGAGUACAUUUGGUGAAUGCUUUUGUUUUUAGUAUUGUUUUCUAUUUACUGUAAACCCACAACAACAAACUUAAGUGCUGAAAGAAUGUGUUACAUUAAUGUAUGGGUACAGAGAGAGCCUAAUUCUGAACUCAGGAGUAUGUAAGUAGACCCUUUCUAUCUCAGAAAUAUAAUCCACCACCAUUGAUACUGUUGAGUCAUUAUUACCUUACCUGCAAUAAAUUCCGUCUUUCAAAUCAACAUAUUGCUUAUCAGAAAAUAUAGUGAGAUGAAUAGUAACUGCUUAAAUCUCUCAGCUUCUCUUAUGUUCCUGCAUUUUUUUGUUUUGUUUUGUAGAUGAAGCUGAAGUGAUUAAGUGAAGUUUUGGCUGUAUCUGGGAAUGGAAAUGGAGCGUGGAAGCAUGGAAAAAGGCAUGGAAGGAAAUCAGUGUCAGAGAACCACUGAAAUGAUGUAGUGUCACAGGGCAGGAUUUAACAGCAAAACCAACAUUUCUCCCAUUAAAAUGCCAUCCAGGGGGAUUUCCGUGUGCAGGAAGCACCUCGGAAUUGAGUGAUUAAAGAAGCUGGUGAUGAGUUUGACAAUGCAACACAAAUCAUCUUUUUCAGCUCGCGCCUUUCAUUUACACCUGACAGGAUGUUUCUGGUCAUUUUCUUCUGUUCUACCAAAACCCGAGUGCCCCUGACUGCUGCCCAUUGGUGUUGGGAUGGGGAGAACCAUUCAUCCAGACCCAGCUGUCACAGCGCCACUUUUCUAAGGGCCAGCACCUUAAAACGGCACAAGUCGGCCCUGUGAUCAACAGAAUCUUGGCUGUGUGAAGGAAGAUUUGCCUCUAAACAGCUCCACUUGAAAAAUAAACCUCCCGUGCACCACUGGCCUUUGGAGGCAGCAAAAAUUCACCAACAGCAGUGACAAUGCGGAAUGGAGGCAGCACCCUCUACCUUGCAGUCCACGGUGUCUGCAGAGUACAGGAACCCUGGAACUGCAGUAAAUUAUGGACACAGCCUUGGGAGAACCAAGCGUAAAGUUUAGUGGGCAUGAACAGCUUGUCCUGAUGAGUGUCCCAGCUCCAUCUGCAGUGUUCAGAUCUACUGUGGGCCACCGCUGCUCCUUCAGGCCAUGCCUGAAGGCAAUAGGACCUGCCACCGCCCUCCUCCAGCCCUUUGCUCCCAUUCCUGCAGUGCAGGGUCUCCCAGAAAUGCAGCAAGUGGCUUUUCACAGUAUCACAGUAUGUUUGGGAUUGGAAGGGACCUCAAAAGUUCAUCUAGUCCAAUCCCCCUGCUGGAGCAGGAACGCCUAGGUGAGGUCACACAGGAACAUGUCCAGGCGGGUUUUGAAUGUCUCCAGAGAAGGAGACUCCACAACCUCCCUGGGCAGCCUGUUCCAGUGUCUGUCACCCUCACUGAGAAGAAGUUUUUUCUCAAAUUUAAGCGGAACCUCUUGUGUUCCAGCUUGAUCCCAUUACCCCUUGUCCUAUCAUUGUUGGCCACCGAGAAGAGCCUGGCUCCGUCCUCAU